rnacentral:lncRNA from 1 species
GUGUUUGAAAUGGUAAGCAUAAUUUGUGAUAAGUGAAUGGUCAGACUUAUAACUCGUAAGAUCCUUGAAAAGAUACAAAUAAAACAAAAUUGACAAUUAGCAAUUCAAACAAGAAAAGUAUCCAAAGUUCAAAACUAAAGUCUAAUACUCCUUUCUUUCGGUAAAAUCUAAUUUGUCUGCUCAGUUCUCUAAUCCUUUCCCAAACUUGCACAAAUGGGUGUCAUAAAAUCUUGGGGAAAUAUUUUUAACCUUUUAUUCCUUAGCGCAUAUCCAUGCAUUCCUUAAUGGACGACUUCCGCAUGGUUCUGGUGAUCACACACAUUAUAUGCAUAGACCCAAAUCUAUGUAGAAAAUAAUGUCUAAAUCAUUAUUUUCAUGACGCAAGUUACAACAAUUCAUAUAAAUUAACUUGGAAGACUAUUUGCAUAAGUUAUAAUAAACUAUCAAUGUUAAUUCUACCAAAUUUUAAUUUAAAUACGAUACCCAAGUAUAAAUGACAUCAUUUAUCAUAUAAAUAAAAUAAACCAAGUUGCUUUGGUCUAGUGGUAUAGGAGCUCUAGCUGUAGUGUCCGCCCCUGGGUUCGAACUUUGGCCACUACGGAAUUUACAUAUUGGCUGCAGCAUCUGAGAUCGAAGACCGUUAUACGGUGAGCCACAUGGUGACGCCCUGACAGCGUCCAUGCUCACUUCGGUCUCUAGUCUGGACCACUUCGGUGGGGUCAGGAUACUCGGUUAGCAAAAAAAAAAAAUUUAUCAUAUAAAUAAACGAUGGAUUACAGAUGCAAAACCUUUACCUCUCCGGAUCCCAGCCAUCAAAGGUUCGCUCACAUCUUCCCCGUGACAGUCACAGUUUACUAUUUUAUGGUGAGUUUUUGGAGUUAUCGUUUUUUUCCUUACAAAUAAAAGCACCAGAAGGUUCCAUAGAGGCACAUAACCUUUGGGACCCUUAGUUAACUCGAGCAUGAAUGUGUAAAGACACUUCCAGACUAUUCGGAAGUUAUAACCCCUUUUUUUUUGUUCCUGGCCAUACGUUUCCAGAUAUGUUCAGAUAUUGAAAACGUUUUCAAGCUAUGUUAUGUAUUUCAUAUAUAUUAAAGGCGUACACAUGAAUCUCCAAUUUA